GUAUUCACCAGGAAGAUAUUUAGGGGUUGACAAAAAUACCCCAUACCAGAGAUGGGCAAAUGCUGUUCGAUAUCCGAUUCCCGGAGACUCCUGUUUAAUUUCCAACUCUGAUAUUUACUUCUACUAUGACGCAGACUCGUGUAUAGAAGAACAUCCGUUUAUUUGUCAGAAACCCUAUGGAACUUGUCCAGUCGGGUGGACUACAAAUGGAGAGACAUGCUAUCAGUAUCAUGGUAAUCGUGCG